CACCGCCUUGUCCCUCACCACCGUUCUUCAAUCAACACUCCCGGUAUGGGCAGCAACAAAAGUAUGGGGCUAUGCAGCCGUGCCGUUCAGGGGCCUAGGUAUCAUUUACCAUCUAGGUCCCCAACGGUCCCCGGUGCGGCGGUCUUAAUGCCGUUUUGAGAUGCCGUGCUCCCGGAAAGUCGGAGCCUGUGAAAACCGAUGCCAACACCUUACACGUUCAUAGCAAGUCUAUGGCAACCUGUCUGCCAGGCAUACUCCUACACUUGCAACACCGCCUUGUCCCUCACCACCGUCCUUCAAUCAACACUCCCGGGGCGGGCAGCAACAAAAGUAUGGGGCUAUGCAGCCGUGCCGUUCAGGGGCCUAGGUAUCAUUUACCAUCUAGGUCCCCAACGGUCCCCGGUGCACCGCCGUUUUGGGAUGCCGUGCUCCCGGAAAGUCGGAGCCUGUGAAAACCGAUGCCAACACCUUACACGUUCAUAGCAAGUCUAUGGCAAACCGUCUGCCAGGCAUACUGGUCCCUAACCACCGUCCUUCAAUCAACACUCCCGGGGCGGGCAGCAACAAAAGUAUGGGGCUAUGCAGCCGCGCCGUUCAGGGGCCUAGGCAUCAUUCACCAUCUAGGUCCCCAACGGUCCCCGGCCCGGUGGUCUCGCCGCCGUCAUCUACGGUCUGCCCGGCCGGCCAACAGCCGCGCCCGGGCAGCAACUACCCCCCCCC
rnacentral:lncRNA from 1 species